rnacentral:rRNA from 1 species
GACGAACGCUGGCGGCGUGCUUAACACAUGCAAGUCGAACGAUGAAGCUAGAGCUUGCUCUGGUGAAUUAGUGGCGAACGGGUGAGUAACACGUGAGUAACCUGCCCCGAACUCUGGGAUAACUGCUUGAAACGGUAGCUAAUACUGGAUACGACCUACGAAGGCAUCUUCUGUAGGUGGAAAGAAUUUCGGGUGGGGAUGGACUCGCGGCCUAUCAGCUUGUUGGUGAGGUAAUGGCUCACCAAGGCGACGACGGGUAGCCGGCCUGUGAGGGUGAUCGGCCACACUGGGACUGAGACACAGCCCAGACUCCUACGGGAGGCAGCAGUGGGGAAUAUUGAACAAUGGGCGCAAGCCUGAUGCAGCAACGCCGCGUGAGGGAUGACGGCCUUCGGGUUGUAAACCUCUUUUAGUAGGGAAGAAGCGAAAGUGACGGUACCUGCAGAAAAAGCACCGGCUAACUACGUGCCAGCAGCCGCCGUAA